rnacentral:sRNA from 1 species
CAGGACCAACGACCCUUGAUUUUUUUGUCGGAAAGCAGCUUGAGAAUGGUUGGGCUUUUUCGACGAUUAAAACCGGUAAUCGACUUCACAUUCAAUCCUCCGAAGGGAAGGUAUAGGGUUUUCAUUCAGUGAAUAUGAGAGUUCAUUCUUGGCUAGGCAGCUUUCAUUCACUACUAAUAAGACAAUUUCUUUGGCAUUUUCAACCUGUUUGAUCCCACUCCUUCAGAUACGACCAUCAAUGUAACCCCAAAUUCUCUGGCAGAGAUUAGUUAGCCCUAUUAUCUAACAAUAUUUGACAACACGGACCGAACAGAUAAUCUGUUAUCAAUCAUGCACUCAAAACAGUACCUUUCUCAAUAGGCUUGGGAGUAAGCAGGCACAGUCGACUACUGAAUAUAUACUUCUGUUCAACUCUGUCGAACUCACAACGAAGCAAACCAAUUGUUACCAAUAGCCGUAGAAACUUCAGCAACACUCGCGAGCGCCAAAGUUACAACACAAAAAAAGGGAUAGCAAUUAUUAUUACUGCUAGAAGGGAAAAAGGGGAAGAACCUCAGUAAAUGUGGGGUUAUUGAAGGAGGUCUAUUCUAUAAACAGUGCGACUCUAUGUUUAAGGUUUAGCAAAAGAGCGUUAUUUCAACCGCUCAUUCCAGCAGUUCCGUACCGUCUACGAGAUCAAAUCAAAGUCCCGAGAAACUUGGACUUGUGCACUUGAGGUUCAAUCGUUUUCGUUUAAAAAGGAAGAGGCGUCGGAGGUUAUGCAGAGGUUGAAUGCUUGAGGCAUAUACCAAAGAAUGACCUGGCUGAAACCAAAUUAUAUUCUCUCAAUCAAUAUCUCCUGUUACGUGGCAAGUCAGAAAAGCAAUGACAAAA